rnacentral:rRNA from 1 species
CGAACGCUGGCGGCGUGCUUAACACAUGCAAGUCGAACGCGAAAGGGGACUUCGGUCCUGAGUAAAGUGGCGCACGGGUGAGUAACGCGUAGAUAACCUGUCUUCAUGUCUGGAAUAAUACGCCGAAAGGGGUACUAAUACCGGAUAUUCUUGCUUUUCAUAAGUUAUGCAAGCAAAGGUGGCCUCUGCAUAUGCUACUGCAUGAAGAGGGGUCUGCGUACCAUUAGCUAGUAGGUGGGGUAAUGGCCUACCUAGGCGACGAUGGUUAGCGGGUCUGAGAGGAUGAUCCGCCACACUGGCACUGGAACACGGGCCAGACUCCUACGGGAGGCAGCAGUGAGGAAUAUUGCGCAAUGGGGGAAACCCUGACGCAGCGACGCCGCGUGAGUGAGGAAGGCCUUCGGGUCGUAAAGCUCUGUCAAGAGGAAAGAAGUGUACAAUGGCUAAUACCUGUUGUAUUUGACGGUACCUCUAAAGGAAGCACCGGCUAACUCCGUGCCAGCCGCCGC